rnacentral:rRNA from 1 species
AUUGAACGCUGGCGGCAGGCCUAACACAUGCAAGUCGAGCGGAUGAAGGGAGCUUGCUCCUGGAUUCAGCGGCGGACGGGUGAGUAAUGCCUAGGAAUCUGCCUGGUAGUGGGGGAUAACGUCCGGAAACGGGAGCUAAUACCGCAUACGUCCUGAGGGGGAAAGUGGGGGAUCUUCGGACCUCACGCUAUCAGAUGAGCCUAGGUCGGAUUAGCUAGUUGGUGGGGUAAAGGCCUACCAAGGCGACGAUCCGUAACUGGUCUGAGAGGAUGAUCAGUCACACUGGAACUGAGACACGGUCCAGACUCCUACGGGAGGCAGCAGUGGGGAAUAUUGGACAAUGGGCGAAAGCCUGAUCCAGCCAUGCCGCGUGUGUGAAGAAGGUCUUCGGAUUGUAAAGCACUGUAAGUUGGGAGGAAGGGAAGUAAGUUAAUACCUGGCUGUUUUGACGUUACCAACAGAAUAAGCACCGGCUAACUUCGUG